rnacentral:snoRNA from 13 species
GGGUAACAAGAGCGAAACUCCGUCUCAAAAAAAAAAAAAAAAAAAUCAUGCUCAAUAGGAUUACGCUGAGGCCC